GGUGGCAGCACGCAAAGGGCGUCCCUGUCCCUCAAGGGGUCAUGGCCUCCAUGUUGCUCGCCCAGCCCUGGCCUGCAGCUUCCAGCACAGCUACCGCCUGCUGGUGCCUGGUAAGCCCCGGGGGUCUUGAUGAGAACUGGUACUAAUGGAAGACACCAUCCAGACUAGGGAUUCCUGGGCUGAAGAGCCCUUGGGAUAAAGGGACCAGCCAGUGAGUUUUCUGGGACUGUCCCACUGUAUUACUCUUUCUCAAAUGCUGCUAAUAAAGACACACCCGAGACUGGUAUUUUAUGAAGAAAAAGAGUUUAACGGUCUCACAGUUUACAUGGCUGGGGAGGCCUCACAAUCAUGGCAGAAGGUGAAGGAGAACAAAGGCACAUCUUACAUGGUGACAGCAGAGAGCGUGUGCAGGGGAACUGCCCUUUGUAAAACCAUCAAUAUGUGAGACUUACUCAACUGACUAUCAUGGAACAACAUGGGAAAGACCCACCCCCAGAUUCAAUUACCUCCCACUGGGUCCCUCCCACACAUGUGGAAUUACGGAGCUACGAUUCAAGAUAGAUUUGAAUGAGACACAGCCAAACCACAUCACCCACUAUCCAUAAACUAUCACCAUCGCCACCUGCUUCCCUCUCCAUCUCUGUUGUAUGAUCCUGUCCCAAGUCCUCAGUCUGACGGAUUGGAUCCAUCCUGGAGCCACUCUGCCUGCAGGUAGGCAAUAGCCCCACAGCCAGACGGUCCCAGGCCAUCUCUCAGGGACCGCUGGGACAACACACACCUGGGUUGCUGCUAAGGAACAAAAAGCCAUAAACGACUCUGAAAUUGACCUAAAGCCAGCUGUGCUUCAAGUCACUGGAUACACUGUGGUGCACCAUCUUAGGAUGUCUCACCCCCACCCUGCCCCACACCCGUAGCCACCUUGCACUGGCUCCUUCUUCCUCUGUUUGACCUCUUUGAGAUCUGCCUCCCAAAAUCCCAUGAGCAGGCUCAAGUGAAUCCUAUUUUAUAGGUGAGAGAACUGAGGCUUAGAGAGCAAAGCCAUUGCCCAAGGACACACCACUUGCAAGCAACUCUGUCCGGCUCCAUGCUAAGUACUCCUCCAUGUGCCUCCAUGGGCUCUGGAACAGAGCCGCCAGCAGGCCUCCUUCAGAUGCCCCGAGAUUGGCCUCCUGCAAGAUAUAAACUGCCUGCUCGGCCUGGCCAUGAAAAUAGGUUUAGAAAGACCAAUGACCCUCCAGUCUGUCCCCACCUCUCUCAGACACCUGUGCUUAUUAUCAUCACGUGUCCCUUGUUGUCAGGUCUUACUGCCUUCUGAAGACAAAACUGCUAGCCGUGUCUUGGUCUGCAUGUGAACCGGUGUGUAUGUCCUGGUGGAUAAACAGUAGGGAUGUUCGCCCCCUCCCAAGGAGUACUAGCAGGCUUAUUUUAAAAUAAACGUCUGGUGGGUGCAGGUGCUCCACAAACUGUAAUCCCAGCACUUUGGAGCGAGUGGGCAGAUCACCUAGUCAGGAGUUUGAGACCACCUGGCCAACAUGUGAAACCCUGUCUCUACCAAAAAUACAAAAAUUAGCCAGGCGUGGUGUGGAUGCCUUAAUCCCAACUACUCAGAAGCUGAGCAGGAAAUCACUUGAAUCCAGGAGGUGAGAUGGCAGUGAGCUGGAUCAUGCCGCUGUACUCCAGCCUGGGCAACAUCAAGGCUCUGUCUC
rnacentral:sRNA from 1 species